rnacentral:rRNA from 1 species
AUGUGGGCCAAGUUACUAAGGGUCGACGGUGGAUGCCUAGGGGCCAAGAGCCGAAGAAGGGCGUGGCAAGACUGCGAUAAGCCCCGGUGAGUUGUCUAGCAAACUUAGCCGGGGAUUCCCGAAUGGGGAAACCCACUUUGGAUCAUACCAAAGUACUCGCUCCGGCGAGAGGUAAGCGGGUGAACUGAAACAUCUAAGUAACCCGAGGAAAGUAAAUCAACCGAGACUCCCUGAGUAGUGGUGAACGAAAGGGGAAGAGCCCAAACCUGGCUGGCUUAGUGGUAUGAGAGCCUAUGUCUGUCAGGUGUUGUAACGCGCGUCCGCUCCAUUCUCAGUAGGGAGCAAGGAGUAAGAAAUCCGCCGCCUAGCCGAACGUUCCUGGAAAGGACGAUCAUAGAGGGUGAAAGUCCCGUAGGCGAAAGGCAGCGGACUCCUGAUGUGUCGUUGAGUACCACGGGACACGUGAAAUCUUGUGGGAAGCUGGGGAGACCACUCUCCAAGGCUAAGUACUCUUGGCCACCGAUAGUGAACCAGUACCGUGAGGGAAAGGUGAAAAGUACCCCAGAAGGGGAGUGAAAUAGACCUGAAACCGUUGACCUACAAGCCGUGGAAGGCCGUCUUAGACGGCUAACUGCGUGCCUAUUGAAGAAUGAGCCGGCGAGUUAAUCUUUGCAGCAAGGUUAAGGGAUACGAGUCCCGGAGCCGAAGCGAAAGCGAGUCCGAAUAGGGCGUCGAGCGGCCUUGAGCCGCGAUGUUGUUUGGAUUAGACCCGAAACCGGGUGAGCUACCCAUGGCCAGGCUGAAGCUCGAGUAAUGUCGAGUGAAGGGCCGAACCCGUGUCUGGUACAAAAGGCUGGGAUGAGCUGUGGGUAGAGGUGAAAUGCCAAUCGAACCCGGAGAUAGCUGGUUCUCCCCGAAAUGUAUUUAGGUACAGCCUCAAUGAUAGUCUGAGGGAGGUAGGGCACUGGAUGGGCUAGGGGGCGUGAGCCUACCAACCCCAACCAAACCACGAAUGCCCUUAGAUGUUUCUUGGGAGUGAGUCAGUGGGGGAUAAGCUCCAUUGGCGAAAGGGAAACAUCCCAGACCGCAGGCUAAGGUCCCUAAGUGUGAACUAAGUGUGAAAGGAAGUGGGAUUCCCAAAACAGCUAGGAGGUUGGCUUAGAAGCAGCCACCCUUUAAAGAGUGCGUAAUAGCUCACUAGUCGAGGGAUCCUGCGCCGAAAAUGUAACGGGGCUAAAGUUCACCACCGAAGCCGCGGAUCCGCAACUUGCGGAUGGUAGGGGAGCGUUGCCAGGGCAUCGAAGCCGAGAUGUGAAUCUCGGUGGAGCGCUGGGAAGUGAGAAUGCCGGCAUGAGUAGCGUUAAUUCUGGUAAGAAUCCAGAACGCCGAAAGUCUAAGGUUUCCUACGCAACGCUGAUCGUCGUAGGGUAAGUCGGGCCUAAGCCGUAGCGUACAGCGAAGGCGAUGGACAGCAGGUCAAAAUUCCUGCACCACCGAUUUCUUGUUAUAAAGCAGAGGAGGGACGCGGAAAGGUAGGCGCCGCGCGCGACUGGAUACCGCGCGUUUGGCCUUGAAGGCCAUGCCUGAGUAGGCAAAUCCGCUCCGGCGCACGAGCUGAGGGGGCUGAAAAUCUUAGGGCCAGAGCCCUGGGAAAUGCCGCUGAACCUAUACCGCCAAGAAAAGCUUCGCUGCAAGAGAAUUUGGUGUCCGUACCGCAAACCGACACUGGUAGACUGGGGUAAAAGUCCCGAGGCGUUCGAGUGAACCCUCGUUAAGGAAUUCGACAACUUGGCCCUGUAACUUUGGGAGAAAGGGUGCCCGUGGGGUGCAACCGCUUGCCGGUGAAGCCUUUGCGGGCCGCAGUAAAGAGGCCCAGGCGACUGUUUAUCAAAAACACAGGUCUCUGCAAAGCCGAAAGGCGAAGUAUAGGGGCUGACGCCUGCCCAGUGCCGGAAGGUUAAAAGGAGGGGUUCGGACGUAAGUCCAAAGCUCUGAAUUGAAGCCCCGGUGAACGGCGGCCGUAACUAUAACGGUCCUAAGGUAGCGAAAUCCCUUGUCGGGUAAGUUCCGACCCGCACGAAUGGCGUAACGACCUGGGCGUUGUCUCAACGAGGGGCUCGGUGAAAUUGCAAGACCCGUGAAGAUGCGGGUUACCCGUGGCAGGACAAAAAGACCCCGUGGAGCUUUACUGUAGCUUGGCAGUGGACUGGAAUUAUGAAUGUGUAGGAUAGGCGGGAGACUUUGAAGCUGCGACGCCAGUCGUGGUGGAGUCGUCCUUGAAAUACCGCUCUUUUAUCGUUUCGGCCCUAAUCCACCGAAAGUGGAGACAUUGCCAGGUGGGCAGUUUGACUGGGGCGGUCGCCUCCUAAAAGGUAACGGAGGCGCACAAAGGUUCCCUCAAGGUGGAUGGAAAUCACCUUUAGAGUGUAUUGGCAUAAGGGAGCUUGACUGUGAGACCUACAAGUCGAGCAGAGACGAAAGUCGGUCAAAGUGAUCCUACGGUUCCGUGUGGAAGGGCCGUGGCUUAACGGAUAAAAGCUACCCCGGGGAUAACAGGCUUAUCUCGCCCAAGAGUUCACAUCG